rnacentral:rRNA from 1 species
AUUGAACGCUGGCGGCACGCCUAACACAUGCAAGUCGAACGAGUGGCGGACGGGUGAGUAAUGUCUGGGAAACUGCCUGAUGGAGGGGGAUAACUACUGGAAACGGUAGCUAAUACCGCAUACCAUCAGAUGUGCCCAGAUGGGAUUAGCUUGUUGGUGGGGUAACGGCUCACCAAUGCGACGAUACCUAGCUGGUCUGAGAGGAUGAACGGCCACACUGGAACUGAGACACGAUCCCGACUCCUACGGGAGGCAGGAGUGGGGAAUAUUGCACAGUGGGCGCAACCAUGAUGCGGCCAUGCCGCGUGUAUGAAGAAGUCCUUCGGGUUAUAAAGUACUUUCAGCGGGGAGGCGUUACCCGCAGAAGAGGCACCGGCUAACUCCGUGCCAGCCGCCGCGGUAAUAC